rnacentral:RNase_P_RNA from 1 species
GUAGUUAUAGAUUCUAUCGCUUCUUUUUAAAGAAGAGGAAAGUCCGGACAAGAUAGAGAAACAUAGCGGAUAACAUCCGUCGUCUGUAAAGAUCGGACAAGUGCAACAGAAAGCAAGUACAGUUCGGCUGUAGUGAAACCAGGUAAACUCUAUGUCUUGCAAUGCCAUGUAAACUAAGAAUUGAGGCUUUCUCGGCCAACUUAGAGGGUAGGCAGAUUGAGGUAUAAAGUAAUUAAUAUCCUAGAUAAAUGAUAGAACCCAUUUUGGGAACAGAAUCCGGCUUAUGAGUAUCUACUAAA